rnacentral:rRNA from 1 species
UGCCAGCCGCCGCGGUAAUACGAAGGGGGCAAGCGUUGUUCGGAAUCAUUGGGCGUAAAGCGUAUGUAGGCGGCUAGAUAAGUCGGGCGUGCAAGCCCGCGGCUCAACCGCGGAAUUGCGUUCGAAACUGUCUGGCUUGAGUACAGGAGAGGGAAGCGGAAUUCCCAGUGUAGCGGUGAAAUGCGUUGAUAUUGGGAAGAACACCAGUGGCGAAGGCGGCUUUCUGGCCUGUAACUGACGCUGAGAUACGAAAGCGUGGGGAGCAAGCAGGAUUAGAUA